AUAGCUUCUCAGCCUUUUGGCUAAGAUCAAGUGUAAAAUAUUAGUUUUUCUAAUUGUUUAAAUCAGUAUAAAUUAGGUUGGUCUUUUUUUCUAUAGAAAACAUCCUGCUUGCGGGGCGCCUGGGUGGCAUAGCGGUUAAGCGUCUGCCUUCGGCUCAGGGCGUGAUCCU
rnacentral:snRNA from 1 species